rnacentral:rRNA from 1 species
CCUACGGGAGGCAGCAGUGGGGAAUAUUGCGCAAUGGGCGAAAGCCUGACGCAGCGACGCCGCGUGAGGGAUGAAGGUCUUCGGAUCGUAAACCUCUGUCAGCAGGGAAGAACGGUCACGGGGCUAAGCAGCAGUGAAUUGACGGUACCGGCAAAGGAAGCACCGGCUAACUCCGUGCCAGCAGCCGCGGUAAUACGGAGGGGGUGAGCGUUAAUCGGAAUUACUGGGCGUAAAGCGCUCGUAGGCGGUAUGUCAAGUCAAGGGUGAAAUCCCCGCGCUCAACGUGGGAACUGCCUUUGAAUCUUGCAACCUGGCGUGUGUGCGAGGAUAGUGGACUUCCAGGUGUAGGCG